rnacentral:rRNA from 1 species
UACGUAGGGGGCAAGCGUUGUCCGGAAUUAUUGGGCGUAAAGCGCGCGUAGGCGGUUCUUUAAGUCUGGUGUGAAAGCCCACGGCUCAACCGUGGAGGGUCAUUGGAAACUGGAGAACUUGAGUGCAGGAGAGGAAAGCGGAAUUCCAUGUGUAGCGGUGAAAUGCGUAGAUAUAUGGAGGAACACCAGUGGCGAAGGCGGCUUUCUGGCCUGCAACUGACGCUAAGGCGCGAAAGCGUGGGGAGCAAACAGG